ensembl:lncRNA
GUUGACCGGUAAUGCUGCUGCAAAACUGCCAACAGUAAUAGUGCUCUCCCCCCAUGCCACUUCACCUCCUCAUGUGUCCCUCAAGCAAGAGCACCCUGCAGAUCCCUGUGCACAGGAGGACAGCCGAGCUGCACAGCCUGGUGCAGCCUUGCUGGGUCGCAAGUGCUGCCUCAUCCCUGUUACACAGCCUCAAGCUGCAGCCAGAGAAGCUUGUUCAUGUGUUGCAGAGUGCUAGUGGCUCUGCCUUUAACCUCGGGACUUUUUCUCUUCUCUUCCCUUCCCUGUGCUCUCAGCAUCUAUUAGCUCUAUGGUGCAGUGGUCACAAGGGAGCGCUGCUGAGAAUAUGACGAAGCAGUGGUUCUUUCAGCCUGAUGUCCUGGCUCUUCCCAGCACUGCCUUGCAGCAUUAACACACCUUUUCUCUUCCUCAUGCUGGGUUUUGGCAGCUGCUUUGAGGUUGUUCAGGACAGAACCAGUCCAGGCAGUCCAGGGCUGCUGUUUGCAGAGUCUUCCUGACUAAGCCCAGGGGCGUUCUCUGGGCAGCCUUGGCCCCUACACCAAUGUUCUCCUUGGCUUUCUCCACCACUGGGCAGCUUCAGUACCUUCCUUCUGGGCAGCACGUAGAGCUGCCUCACAACCCAGGCAUUUCUAAGAACUUGCUCAUGCACAGAAAAGGGACAUACAAGAAGUGCAUUUCAGGAACCAAGCUGCUGUGUAACUUUCCUAGUUUCUGUGCCACAUAGCAUAGUGUAAACCUAGGGUUAAGAUCCAGUGGCAUGUCUGGAUGGAAAGCUUCCCAAAACCAGAGUGGAUGGAUCACAGAUUUAUUUUGCCCUUGGUGUGGUGGGUGGAAAGUGGAAUCACAACAUAGACAACCAGAGACCUGACACAGACCCAAGCAGCACGCCUGGGCCAGCAGGAUGGGUUUCUUCCACAUCUGCUGCUUCUGCUCUUUCUGUGGCAUUGUGGGAGGAAACCGAAGGAGUAUAAGGGUGAGAAGCUGCUAUGCUGAGGAGGCUAUGCAGCACUGGAAGCUCUGGGGUGGUUUCUAUCAGGCUCUGGUUUGAAGGAGCGGUAAAGUGAACUCAGUGAUACCCAACACCUAAAUAAGGCUGUGGGGAGAAACGUGUGCCAGAAAUGAGAAAAAGCUGGGAGAACAGAUGGAAAUACAAUUGAUUACUGAGGUAUAAAAUAUAAAUUUGACAUCUCCAGUGUGGUCUUUACCUCCAUGCUUUAAGCUCAGAACCAAAGUCAGGCACUGGAGUUUCAGCACUCUGCAAGAGGAUGACAUAGCCUGACGAUUUCUUUCACGUGCUUCAACAAGAAGAUCACCUUUGGAAAGGAGCAGCUGCACCAGCAGCCCUAUAUCAUUCCCUACAGGACCAGCUUGUCUUGUGGAACUUGAGAAAUUAUACCUUAGGAUAAGCGAAGAGCAACUUGUGUAAGCCAGAGUGGGAAGGCCAUUCAUGUUAUAUCAUGUUAUAGUUCAGCUGUCGUGAUGAGCUGCACAAGAUGUACUCACGUAAGAAGGUAAAUAUCAGGCUGUGCCAGGCUGUUCAAAUGGGGGCAUCCCCCAGAUCCUCCAAACACUGCAUUUCAUACCCCACGGAACUGGAGCUGAGCUCAGACAGGAAGGCUGAGGAGAGACGCCCAGGUGGGGAGCAGGGCAGAGACUGCACCCAGGGAAGAUAGGGAGAGCAGUGAGAAAGGUCUGCCGUCUGCCAUCCUUGAGACUGAGAACAGGGAGUGCUCGAGGAACCUGAGGGCUUGGAGGUGGAGGAGGAAUUUUAUCACAUGAACAUAGAAGAGAAGGUGAAUAGAGAGAGGAUGAUGUCCUCAGAUAAAUUCAGUAGUUUGCCUGGGUAAGGGCUGAUACUCUGUACAGCAUCAAGACCAGAUCCUGAUCUAAGGCAAGGUCCUUGCCUACCUUAGAUCACCAUGAGGUUAAGCAUCAUCUGAGCUGGAAAAAGGGUCUGAGUUAUCUGAGCCAGUGGCAUGGAUAAUAUGUGGCUCCUUGUUGGGAUGCAGCAUUGCAAAAGUGAUGGCAGAACUGGAGAAUGCAUGACAACACCACCUGGUAAACUGUAGGCUGUACUUGCUUUAAAAGAGAAUACAAAGUGCCUGCUGCAUUUUAAUUUUUCAUUGUUCUAUAUAAUAGUCGUGUUAAAUAUCUGGUGAUUAAACAGGUGUUUGCUUACGUAUUGC